rnacentral:tRNA from 1 species
GGGAACAUGAGCCAGAUUGGAAAUCGGCGAGGGUAGCGCCCUGAGCAAGUCCGUGUGACGUCCACGGCAUAACGCUAUGUGCAGGUUCGAGUCCUGCUGUUCCCG